UAUAAUGACUUUGUAAGAACUUUUCGAAGUCACAAUUGUUUUAGGUGAUUUUAGAAUUUGUGAAAUAAAAAGGAUAUUAUGUUUUAGAGAAUUUUGUGAGUUUGGUAGUAGUUCUACAAUUCAAAUUUUGAAGACUUAUAUAAAUAGUUGUCUGAAGUGUAUGUUGUUAGUUUGAAAUUGAUUGAAUUGUUGAUUUAAAGGUUAUUGAAUUUCAAGUAGAUUGAGGUUUUGGAAAUUGGACUUUGAGGGGCAAUUAGGAUUUCUAAGAUCUUUAGCAAUCCACUGGUUGGAUUGGAGUGAAUUUUAUAUAUAAGAAUAAUAGACUUGAUUUGCUAUAUAUAUGUAAAAUUUGAGAAUAAUUGAAUGAUUAGAUAAGGAGAUAUUAGUAUUAGAAGUUCAACAUCAGUUUGGAGUAGGACGCUAGCUAAUACCUGAGCGGAUUUUAGGAUUUUCUUUCCAUUUGAUAAGUGAGAUUAUCUUCAAAUUUUGUAUAUUUUUUGCUAACUUAGAUUUUAAAAAGUUUAUAAAAUUUUAAGCAAGAUCAAUAAUUUAAUUGAUAAAUAUUGAGAUUCUAAAUUAUUCUAGGAUUAGGUUGAGUUGGUUAAGUUUAAGUUAGGAUUUGGUUUAGGAUUAGGAUUGAAUUAGGAUUUAAGAUUUGAUUAAGAUUUGAUUAGGAUUUAAGGUUGGAUUAUAAUUUAGAAUUUAGGAUCUAGGAUUUUUUUGGAUUUAGGAUUUGGCCUAGGAUUUUAUUGAAAACUAUUAAGGUUUUAAU
rnacentral:lncRNA from 1 species